rnacentral:ncRNA from 2 species
GUCUUAUCGAGAGUGGCAGAGGGACUGGCCCUGCGAAGCCACAGCAACCGGUCAUAUCCACCGAAUAAGGGGGAUAAGAUGCUGGUGCUAAUUCCUGUCUCGUGUUUUUUGGGAAAAGAUAAGAU